AAGAAAAGAAAAAAAGCAGAUGCCUGCUCUGUCCAGCUGAACUAUCAUUUCCCCCUCAUGGGGCUCUUGGGCAUUAACUGUCUUGUGAGGGAGAAGAGCCAGUGAGAAGAAGGCAGGCAAAGACAUCAGGCACCUGCUCUGCUCAGGCGAACAACUGCCCUGUGAAGGAGAACUAUAUUGAUUUUGGUUUUUCGUUGUAUUUGUACCUUCAUCUGAUUGAUCAGCCAACAUUCCAGAAGCUGAUGCCAACAACAAAAAGAAAUCCAUGCAAGCUAUAGUGUUUAAUAUCAUUACAUAUGUAGGUACUAAAAGAAUUAUGGUUCAUCAAGAAAUCAAAAGUAAAGAACUGGUAUAGGCAGAAGAAAUGUGUCUCUGAUGACUUGUCUGAGGCAAAGGAAUGUGAAGAGCUCCUAAAAAGAAGGACUGGGCUAGCUGCUACAAGAGCUGAGAAAUGUAGAAAGAUUUGGAAGACAAAAACAUAACAAAGUAAAGCAAAACCCCUUCUAAAUGGCAUAAUUGUUGUGUCGACAUUGAUAUGAAGAUUAAAUGUACAUGAAAGAAGA